GAUGAACGCUGGCGGCGUGCCUAAUACAUGCAAGUCGAGCGAACGGACGCGACGCUUGCUUCUCUGAUGUUAGCGGCGGACGGGUGAGUAACACGUGGAUAACCUACCUAUAAGACUGGGAUAACUUCGGGAAACCGGAGCUAAUCCCGGAUAAUAUUUUGAACCGCAUGGUUCAAAAGUGAAAGACGGUCUUGCUGUCACUACUAGCUGGUUCCGCGCUGCAUUAGCUAGUUGGUAAGGUAACGGCUUACCAAGGCAACGAUGCAUAGCCGACGUGAGAGAGUGAUCGGCCACCUGGGAACUGAGACACGGACAAGACUCCUACGGUAGGCAGCAGUAGGGAAUCUUCCGCAAUGGGCGAAAGCCUGACGGAGCAGCGCCGCGUGAGUGAUGAAGGUCUUCGGAUCGUAAAACUCUGUUAUGAGGGAAGAACAUAUGUGGAAGUAACUGUGCACAGCGUGACGGUACCGAAUCAGAAAGCCACGGCUAACUACGUG
rnacentral:rRNA from 1 species